UACGUAGGGGGCAAGCGUUGUCCGGAUUUACUGGGCGUAAAGAGCGUGUAGGCGGCCAAACAGGUCCGUUGUGAAAACUGGAGGCUCAACCUCGAGAUGUCGGCGGAAACCACUUGGCUAGAGUCCGGAAGAGGAGAGUGGAAUUCCCGGUGUAGCGGUGAAAUGCGCAGAUAUCGGGAAGAACACCUAUGGCGAAGGCAGCUCUCUGGGACGGUACUGACGCUGAGACGCGAAAGCGUGGGGAGCGAACAGG
rnacentral:rRNA from 1 species